rnacentral:piRNA from 1 species
AUUGGUGAUGGUUUUCAUGAA